rnacentral:rRNA from 1 species
UGGGUAAUCUGCCUAGAAGAUCGGGACAACCUGCCGAAAGGCUGGCUAAUACCGGAUAAGCCUACAGGUUCUUCGGAACUCGUAGGAAAAGGAGGCCUCUGUAUACAAGCUUUCACUUCUAGAUGAGCCCGCGGCCCAUCAGCUAGUUGGCGGGUAACGCCCACCAAGGCUACGACGGGUAGCUGGUCUGAGAGGACGAUCAGCCACACUGGAACUGAGACACGGUCCAGAUCCUACGGG